AAAAAAAAAAAAAAAAAGAUAAGAAACCCUAGCGCGGUGGACUCUUUAAAAGGGGAGCCGUGCAUCUCCAGCAGAUAUGGAGCUCCGUACCGCAGACUCUCCGCUCCAAACCCUGCCUACCUCCUCCGCUCCAAGCCCUCUAUCUCUCUGAGACCGACCAUUCUCCAUCGCAUUGGCCGGGGCCUCUAGUACCAGCAUGUGUUUUACCAUUCCAUUGCGAAGAGCAACAAUGUCUGAAGAAUCAUCAAGUGGAGCAAAUCAGUAUGUUGAUGAAGAACGUGGUGGUGUUAUAACCUUGGAAGAUGUUCUGCCAACAUGAAUAAUACAUUCAUUGAAAAUAUGGCAGCAGAAGAGCAUAUAGACGUCUCUUCUGGAGAUGAGCAAACGCAUUGGUUUGAGUUUUUUGAUAAUUUUCAUAAUAAGGUACCUUCAAAUCCCAGAACUCCAGCUUUAUUAGAGUUUUCUGUCAAACUGCAGAUAGAUUGUGAUAAAACAUUCUCUUUCUUGAUAUCUAAUAUUCAUUAUAAAUUAGUAAAUACAUUUAAUUCCUA